rnacentral:rRNA from 1 species
UGGAGGUAGUGACAAUAAAUCACAAUGCGGGACUUUUAGUUUUGCAAUUGGAUUGAGAACAAUGUAAAAGAGUUAUCGAUAAACAAUUGGAGGGCAAGUCUGGUGCCAGCAGCCGCGGUAAUUCCAGCUCCAAUAGCGUAUAUUAACGUUGUUGCAGUUAAAAAGCUCGUAGUUGAAGUGUGGGGUAAAAGAAUGUGUGUUCAUUUUGAAUGUGUGUUUGCUUACCCCCUCUCCAAUGUGUUAUUAUGGGUAUUAAUUUACUUGUAAUAGCUAUUGGUCAUUUACUGUGAGAAAAUUAGAGUGUUCAAAGCAGGCAUUUGCUUGAAUAUAUUAGCAUGGAAUAAUAGUAAAAGGCUUUUGUGGUCGAUUUAAUUGGUUUGUUCAUGAAAGCAAGAUUAAUAGGGACAGUUGGGGGUAUUCAUAUUCAAUAGUUAGAGGUGAAAUUCUCGGAUUUAUGGAAGAUGAACAAGUGCGAAAGCAA